AUUAUAUUGGCAGAAUAAUGCAUUAGAAUUAGAAUCUAAUUAACUAUUAAUCA
rnacentral:tRNA from 1 species